GGCUGCAUCUGCGCCACGAGCGGGCGGGACAUGGGGCGGCAGUGACCCCCCCAGGGCAGCAUGGCGGAGGGUUGGGUGGAGUGCCCCGCUUUGGGGCCCGGCUGGAAGAGAAGGGAAGCCUUCCGAAAGUCGGGGGCCACCUGCGGCCGCACCGACACCUAUUACCAAAGCCCUACAGGGGAGAAGUUCCGCAGUAAGAUCGAGCUGAGCCGCUUUUUGGGGCCGGCUCGGGAUCUCGCCAACUUCGACUUCAAGAAUGGCUUGGAGAGACCGGGGGGGGGCAAGGUAAGGAUUGGGGGGGGGGGGACACCC